rnacentral:rRNA from 1 species
UUCCGGUUGAUCCUGCCGGAGGUCAUUGCUAUCGGGGUCCGAUUUAGCCAUGCUAGUCGUGCGAGUUUAGACUCGCGGCGUAUAGCUCAGUAACACGUGGCCAAACUACCCUACAGACAGGACCAACCUCGGGAAACUGAGGCUAACACCUGAUACGCGUUGUCUGUUUGAAGACGACGACGCUCAAACGCUCCGGCGCUGUAGGAUGUGGCUGCGGCCGAUUAGGUAGAUGGUGGGGUAACGGCCCACCAUGCCGAUAAUCGGUACGGGUUGUGAGAGCAAGAGCCCGGAGACGGAAUCUGAGACAAGAUUCCGGGCCCUACGGGGCGCAGCAGGCGCGAAACCUUUACACUGCACGCCAGUGCGAUAAGGGGACCCCGAGUGAAAGGGCAUAUCGCCCUUUCUUUUCUGAACCGUAGGGAGGUUCAGAACAAGAGCUGGGCAAGACCGGUGCCAGCCGCCGCGGUAAUACCGGCAGCUCAAGUGAUGACCGAUUUUAUUGGGCCUAAAGCGUCCGUAGCUGGCCGCGCAAGUCUGUCGGGAAAUCCACCCGCUCAACGGGUGGGCGUCCGGCGGAAACUGUGCGGCUUGGGACAGGAAGGCUCGAGGGGUACGUUCGGGGUAGGAGUGAAAUCCUGUAAUCCUGAACGGACCACCGAUGGCGAAAGCACCUCGAGAGGACUGAUCCGACAGUGAGGGACGAAAGCUGGGGUCUCGAACCGGAUUAGAUACCCGGGUAGUCCCAGCCGUAAACGAUGUUCGCUAGGUGUGACACUCACUACGAGUGAGUGUUGUGCCGCAGGGAAGCCGCUAAGCGAACCGCCUGGGAAGUACGUCCGCAAGGAUGAAACUUAAAGGAAUUGGCGGGGGAGCACUACAACCGGAGGAGCCUGCGGUUUAAUUGGAUUCAACGCCGG